UACGGAAGGCAGCAGUGGGGAAUAUUGCACAAUGGGCGCAAGCCUGAUGCAGCCAUGCCGCGUGUAUGAAGAAGGCCUUCGGGUUGUAAAGUACUUUCAGUCGUGAGGAAGGUGUUAAGGUUAAUAACCUUAGCAAUUGACGUUAGCGACAGAAGAAGCACCGGCUAACUCCGUGCCAGCAGCCGCGGUAAUACGGAGGGUGCGAGCGUUAAUCGGAAUUACUGGGCGUAAAGGGCACGCAGGCGGUUAAUUAAGUUGGAUGUGAAAUCCCCGGGCGUAACCUGGGAAUGGCAUUCAAGACUGGUUAGCUAGAGUCUUGUAGAGGGGGUAGGAAUUCCAUGUGUAGCGGUGGAAAUGCGUAGAGAUGUGGAGGAAUACCGGUGGGCGAAGGCGGGCCCCUCGGGACAAAGACUGACGCUCAUGUGCGAAAGCGUGGGGAGGCAAACAGGGAUUAGAUACC
rnacentral:rRNA from 1 species